GACGAACGCUGGCGGCGUGCUUAACACAUGCAAGUCGAGCGGUAAGGCCCUUUCGGGGGUACGACGAGCGGCGAACGGGUGAGUAACACGUGGGUGACCUGCCCUCAGCUCUGGGAUAAGCCUGGGAAACCGGGUCUAAUACUGGAUAUGACUCCAUGACGCAUGUUGUGGGGUGGAAAGCCUUGUGCGGCUGAGGAUGGGCCCGCGGCCUAUCAGCUUGUUGG
rnacentral:rRNA from 1 species